GGUUCCUUAGCUCAGUGGUUUAGAGCGAGAGAUUGCAGAUCUCUAGGUCGCGUGUUCGAUUCACGCAGGAACCU
rnacentral:tRNA from 1 species